rnacentral:tRNA from 4 species
GCCCAUGUAGCUCAGUUGGUAGAGCGUAUCCUUGGUAAGGAUAAGGUCACCAGUUCAAUUCUGGUCGUGGGCUCCA